rnacentral:rRNA from 1 species
UACGGGGGGGGCAAGCGUUGUUCGGAAUUACUGGGCGUAAAGGGCUCGUAGGCGGCCAACUAAGUCAGACGUGAAAUCCCUCGGCUUAACCGGGGAACUGCAUCUGAUACUGGAUGGCUUGAGUUCGGGAGAGGGAUGCGGAAUUCAUGGUGUAGCAGUGAAAUGCGUAGAGAUCAUGAGGAAGACCAGUGGCGAAGGCGGGUCUCUGGACAGUUCCUGACACUGAGACACGAAGGCCAGGGGAGCAAACGGG